rnacentral:rRNA from 1 species
GACGAACGCUGGCGGCGUGCUUAACACAUGCAAGUCGAGCGGAAAGGCCCUUCGGGGUACUCGAGCGGCGAACGGGUGAGUAACACGUGAGUAACCUGCCCUGGACUUUGGGAUAACCCUCGGAAACGGGGGCUAAUACCGAAUAUGACCUGACAUCGCAUGAUGUUUGGUGGAAAGUUUUUCGGUCUGGGAUGGGCUCGCGGCCUAUCAGCUUGUUGGUGGGGUGAUGGCCUACCAAGGCGACGACGGGUAGCCGGCCUGAGAGGGCGACCGGCCACACUGGACUGAGACACGGCCCAGACUCCUACGGGAGGCAGCAGUGGGGAAUAUUGCACAAUGGGCGGAAGCCUGAUGCAGCGACGCCGCGUGA